rnacentral:rRNA from 1 species
AGAGUUUGAUCCUGGCUCAGAACGAACGCUGGCGGCGUGGAUAAGACAUGCAAGUCGAACGAGACUUUUCGUUGUAGCAAUACGAUGGAAAGUUUAGUGGCGAACGGGUGCUUAACACGUGGGCAACCUGCCAUGAAGUGGGGGAUAGCUCGCCGAAAGGCGAAUUAAUACCGCAUGUGAUUAGAGAGGACAUCCUUUCGAAAUUAAAGUCGGGGCAACCUGACGCUUCUUGUGGGGCCCGCGGCCUAUCAGCUAGUUGGUGAGGUAACGGCUCACCAAGGCUUUGACGGGUAGCUGGUCUGAGAGGACGACCAGCCACACUGGGACUGAGACACGGCCCAGACACCUACGGGUGGCAGCAGUCGAGAAUUUUUGACAAUGGGGGAAACCCUGAUCGAGCGACGCCGCGUGGAGGAUGAAGGUCUUCGGAUUGUAAACUCCUGUCAUUUGGGAACAAGGUGCACACGUUAACUGCGUGUGUAUUGAUAGUACCAGAAGAGGAAGGGACGGCUAACUCUGUGCCAGCAGCCGCGGUAAUACAGAGGUCUCAAGCGUUGUUCGGAUUCAUUGGGCGUAAAGGGUGCGUAGGCGGCGCGGUAAGUCGGGUGUGAAAUCUCGGAGCUUAACUCCGAAACUGCAUUCGAUACUGCCGUGCUUGAGGACUGGAGAGGAGACUGGAAUUUACGGUGUAGCGGUGAAAUGCGUAGAUAUCGUAAGGAAGACCAGUGGCGAAGGCGGGUCUCUGGACAGUUCCUGACGCUGAGGCACGAAGGCCAGGGGAGCAAACGGGAUUAGAUACCCUAGUAGUCC